GGUUACAAUCGGUUAGAGCAGGCGACUCAUAAUCGCUUGGUCGCAGGUUCAAAUCCUGCCGGGCCCA
rnacentral:tRNA from 1 species